rnacentral:rRNA from 1 species
GACGAGGGACCUAGCGUUGUUCGGAAUCAUUGGGCGUAAAGCGGGCGUAGGUGGCUUUAUAAGUCAGGUGUGAAAUCCCCGGGCUCAACCCGGGACGUGCACUUGAUACUGUUUAGCUUGAGUGUGGAAGAGGUGAGUGGAAUUCCAGGUGUAGUGGUGAAAUACGUAGAUAUCUGGAGGAACACCGGUGGCGAAAGCGGCUCACUGGUCCAACACUGACACUGAAGCCCGAAGCGUGGGGAUCAAACAGG